GCCUUCGUGGUGUAACGGUAGCACACUCGGGGCGUAUUCGAGAGGUCCAGGUUCGAAUCCCUGCGAGGGCA
rnacentral:tRNA from 1 species